rnacentral:rRNA from 1 species
CUACCUCGACUGAAACCUUCGGGUUGAUGACGAGAUCUAGAUAGUGGCGGACGGGUGAGUAACACGUGAAUAAUCUGUCCUCAAGUUUGGGAUAACCUGGCGAAAGUCGGGCUAAUCCGAGGUAAGCUGAGAGUGUGGCAUCACACAAUCAGAAAAGGU